rnacentral:rRNA from 1 species
GACGAACGCUGGCGGCGUGCUUAACACAUGCAAGUCGAACGGUAAGGCCCCUUCGGGGGUACACGAGUGGCGAACGGGUGAGUAACACGUGGGUAAUCUGCCCUGCACUUCGGGAUAAGCCUGGGAAACUGGGUCUAAUACCGGAUAUGAGCUCCUGCCGCAUGGUGGGGGUUGGAAAGUUUUUCGGUGCAGGAUGAGUCCGCGGCCUAUCAGCUUGUUGGUGGGGUAAUGGCCUACCAAGGCGACGACGGGUAGCCGGCCUGAGAGGGUGAUCGGCCACACUGGGACUGAGACACGGCCCAGACUCCUACGGGAGGCAGCAGUGGGGAAUAUUGCGCAAUGGACGGAAGUCUGACGCAGCGACGCCGCGUGAGCGAUGAAGGUCUUCGGAUCGUAAAGCUCUGUCCUUGGGGAAGAAGGUCUUCGGACUUGACGGUACCCAAGAAGAAAGCCCCGGCUAACUACGUG